UACGUAGGGUGCGAGCGUUGUCCGGAAUUACUGGGCGUAAAGAGCUCGUAGGUGGUUUGUCGCGUUGUUCGUGAAAACUCACAGCUUAACUGUGGGCGUGCGGGCGAUACGGGCAGACUGGAGUACUGCAGGGGAGACUGGAAUUCCUGGUGUAGCGGUGGAAUGCGCAGAUAUCAGGAGGAACACCGGUGGCGAAGGCGGGUCUGUGGGCAGUAACUGACGCUGAGGAGCGAAAGCGUGGGGAGCGAACAGG
rnacentral:rRNA from 1 species